ACCGGGGUCGAUUGCUCAGUUGGUAGAGGAUGAGGCUCUUAAUCUCAGGGUCAUGGGUUAGACCCCCAUGCUGGGCA